GAUGAACGCUAGCGAUAGGCUUAACACAUGCAAGUCGAGGGGCAGCAUGGUCUUAGCUUGCUAAGGCUGAUGGCGACCGGCGCACGGGUGCGUAACGCGUAUGCAACUUGCCUCACAGAGGGGGAUAACCCGUCGAAAGACGGACUAAUACCGCGUACACUCUAUGUUGGGCAUCCAAUGUAGAGGAAAUGAAAUUCGCUGUGAGAUAGGCAUGCGUCCUAUUAGCUAGUUGGUGAGGUAACGGCUCACCAAGGCGACGAUGGGUAGGGGAACUGAGAGGUUGAACCCCCACACUGGUACUGAGACACGGACCAGACUCCUACGGGAGGCAGCAGUGAGGAAUAUUGGUCAAUGGGCGAGAGCCUGAACCAGCCAAGUCGCGUGAAGGAUGACUGUCUUAUGGAUUGUAAACUUCUUUUAUACGGGAAUAACAAGAGUCACGUGUGGCUCCCUGCAUGUACCGUAUGAAUAAGCAUCGGCUAACUCCGUG
rnacentral:rRNA from 1 species